AACUCAUUUUUCACAAAACUUGUUUCUGCUGCAAACACUGCAAAAAGAAACUGAGCCUUCAAGGCUAUGCGCCUCUCUAUGGGGAAUUCUACUGUGUAUUCCACUAUCAGCAACUUUUCAAAAGGAAGGGUAACUAUGACGAGGGCUUCGGCCGUCAACAGCAUAAAGACCUUUGGCUACAGAGGAAUGACACAAACAUCAUUUAGAGCUACUGAACAAGUAUAUGGGCCAUAACCUUGACUAACAGAUGGUCGGAUGUAGGCAAAUAUGAUUUUCUGGUCUUUUUGUGAUUGUGCUUGUACACAUUUAAAUCAAAUAGAAGGAUUUAACAUAUCACAUAUCAUGAUUUCAUAAAGCAGUUCAUAUAUACUGUAUAUAUAAAUCAAUAUCAUGCCAGAUUUUCUUAAAUGUUGAUGUUGUUAUGUUUGAGACUUUGAUGAAAAUAUUUUACAUAACUGGUUGAUGUUGAUGAUCUUAAUUUGAAAAAAUGUGGGGAAAAAUCUAAUAUGUAGAUGUACAUAGAUUUGAGAUGCCAUGUGUUUCAAUUACUAAACUUAAUAAAUCCAUUCUGGCUCAUUAAA